rnacentral:tRNA from 1 species
GGCACUUUGGCGGAGUGGUUAUCGCGCAGGCCUGCUAAGCCUGUUCCUUCGGGAGCGUGAGUUCGAAUCUCACAGGUGUCG